rnacentral:rRNA from 1 species
CCUACGGGGGGCAGCAGUGGGGAAUAUUGGACAAUGGGCGAAAGCCUGAUCCAGCCAUGCCGCGUGUGUGAAGAAGGCCUUCGGGUUGUAAAGCACUUUCAGUGGGGAAGAAAGCCUUGGGGCUAAUACCCUCGAGGAAGGACAUCACCCACAGAAGAAGCACCGGCUAACUCCGUGUCAGCAGCCGCGGUAAUACGGAGGGUGCGAGCGUUAAUCGGAAUUACUGGGCGUAAAGCGCGCGUAGGCGGUCUGAUAAGCCGGUUGUGAAAGCCCCGGGCUCAACCUGGGAACGGCAUCCGGAACUGUCAGGCUAGAGUGCAGGAGAGGAAGGUAGAAUUCCCGGUGUAGCGGUGAAAUGCGUAGAGAUCGGGAGGAAUACCAGUGGCGAAGGCGGCCUUCUGGACUGACACUGACGCUGAGGUGCGAAAGCGUGGGUAGCAAACAGGAUUAGAUACCCCAGUAGUC